rnacentral:rRNA from 1 species
AACGAACGCUGGCGGCAGGCUUAACACAUGCAAGUCGAACGCCCCGCAAGGGGAGUGGCAGACGGGUGAGUAACGCGUGGGAAUCUACCUAGUUCUACGGAACAACAGAGGGAAACUUCUGCUAAUACCGUAUACGCCCUAUGGGGGAAAGAUUUAUCGGAAUUAGAUGAGCCCGCGUAAGAUUAGCUAGUUGGUGAGGUAAUGGCUCACCAAGGCGACGAUCUUUAGCUGGUCUGAGAGGACGAUCAGCCACACUGGGACUGAGACACGGCCCAGACUCCUACGGGAGGCAGCAGUGGGGAAUAUUGGACAAUGGGCGCAAGCCUGAUCCAGCAAUGCCGCGUGAGUGAUGAAGGCCUUAGGGUUGUAAAGCUCUUUCGGGUGGGACGAUGAUGACGGUACCACCAGAAGAAGCCCCGGCUAACUUCGUGCCAGCCGCCGCGGUAACAC